GAAAGGCAGAAGGGCACUCCUCCAAUGGGAGCCGGGGAGCCGUCGGUAGCGGCGUAGGCCCGUGCCCCUGCUCGCGCUGCAGCCCGUGGAAGGGUUCCGUCCAGUGUAUCCUUCAGAUCUUGCUGUAGGCCUCUCGUAUCUGUGCGCGCGCGGCAGGGGCGGCGGCGGCGACGGCCGGAGGUGUACGGUCAGCGGGUUGCGGAGGAUCGUGCGGGUAGCAAAGGGAGGCCGAGUGCUCCUGCGGCUCCCAGACGGCAACCAGGUGUAAAUCCAAACUGCUUCCAACUCAAGGCAAGUAACAGCCCACGGUGUUCUGGCAGGAAAACAUCAGCUAAGAAAGGAAACUGGGUUCUAUGGCUUGGACUUUCCAACUCUGACAGACCGGCAGGACAGAAACAACUGGUUCAGGAGCCCUUGCCAGCCUCUAGAGAAAUCCCAGAACACAGCCCUGACACACUAAUACCCUGCACAUACUGGAGACUGCUGGCCACGCAUACUCACCAAGCCACAGACUUGUCUUCCACAAGCACGUUCUUACCUCAGCCACAAAGUGGCCAAGCCACAUGUACUAAAGGUUGAAAUCAGAGACAUAUACAGGGUAUUAAAUACAUACCAAGGGGAACAGUUAACUUGAAUAGAAAGUCAAAAUCGGCAACAAGUCUACAAUCCAUUGCUGAUAUCAGAUACAAGCUUCAAGGACAACUUUGUUUUUUAUUUUUGUUUAUUUAUUUUUUUUUUUUUUGAGACGGAGUCUCACCCUGUUGCCCAGGCUGGAGUGUGCAGUGGUGCAAUCUCGGCUCACCACAACCUCCGCCUCCCAGGUUCAAGCGAUUCUCCUGCCUCAGCCUCCCCAGUAGCUGGGAUUAUAGGCGAAUGCCACCAUACUUGGCUAAUUUUUGUAUUUUUAGUAGAGACGGGGUUUCAGCCUGUUGGCCAGGCUGAUCUCGAACUCCUGACCUUGUGAUCCACCCGUCUCAGCCUCCUAAAGUGCUGGGAUUAUAGGCGUGAGCCACCACGCCUGGCCACAAAUUUCUUUUUGAAGGCUUAUUUCAGUUUCGUUAGGCUAGCAUGAGGUGUAUGCAUUUGCCAGGGUUAAAUUUAUACUGCUGAAUUAACCCAUGCAACAAAUGCUGCACGUCUGCUCACAGUCCAUUUAAAGGCAUUUGUGGUGGACGAUGGAGGGGCCAGACUCGUCAUACAUACCUAAUUGCUAAUCCACAUGCUCGCAGUCCAUUUAGAGGCAUUUGCAGUGGAUGAUGGAGGGGCCACAUACCUAAUUGCUAAUCCACAUCUGCUGGAAGGUGGACAGUGAGGCCAGGAUGGAACCACCAAUCCACACCGAGUACUUGUGCUCUGGGGGCGUGAUGAUCUUGAUCUUCAUGGUGCUGGAUGCCAGCGCAGUGAUGCCAGGGCACAUGGUGGUGCUGCUGGACAGCACUAUGUUGGCAUACAGGUCUUUGCAGAUGUCCACGUCACACUUCAUGACGGAGUUGAAGGUGGUCUUGUGGAUGCUUCAGGAUUCCAUGCCCAAGAAGGAAGGCUGGAACAACACCUGCAGACACCAAAACCACUUGUUGCCGAUGGUGAUGACCUGACCUGGCCAUCAGGCAGCUCGUAGCUCUUCUCCAGGGAGGAGGAGGAUGUGGCAGUGGUCAUCUCCUGCUCGAAGUCCAGGGCGACGUAGCACAGCUUCUCGUUGAUGUCGCGCACAAUCUCCUGCUUGGCCGUGAUGGUGAAGCUCGGUCUGGAAGCUCCGAGUUUAUCUUGGGACCUCAAGAGGAGAGGAUCACCCAGUUCACAGGUAUUUGAGGAUACAAACGCAUUGCUGGGCUCAGCUUUAAAAGUCUUAUCUGAAAUUCCUUGUGAAACAGAGUUUCAUCAAAGCCAAUCCAAAAGGCCUAUGUAGAAAUAACCAUUCUUGCUGCACUUUAUGCAAAUAAUCAGGCCAAAUAUAAGACUACAGUUUAUUCACAAUUUGUUUUUAUCAAAAAUGAGGACUAGAGAGAAAAAUGGUGCUCCAAAGCUUAUCAUACAUUUGUCAUUAAGUCCUAGUCUCAUUAAUUGUUUUCAAGCUUUUUGCCUACAUUUUAGACUAACCCUGCUUAUUCCUGUGAAUCAAGUAGUGAUCUCCUGCAGCUUGGAAGAAAAAAUAAGGGAUGGGUAAUGUAAAAAUCUGGAUCAAUAUACUGGUUCUGGGCAAUUAUCCUGCAAAUUCUGCCUGGUAAUAAAAGUGAGUAGGGUGCCCAUAACCCGGAAGUUUCUUUGUUUAGGAAAAUUAAAACAAGGAACUUCAUAGACCCCCCAAAGGGGAAUUCUACAUCUUGACAAGUAAAAUUUUAGAUGGAAAUUAUCUACCACACCACACUUAUGGAAAUUGCUAUACUCACUCUAUUAUUUGCAAAAGGGUUAUACACAGUAGUACCUUCUAACUGAAAUAUUAAACAGGGAGUUUCCAUCGCUGUAGUAUUUUGCUUAAUUAUUAUCCUUAUAGCAGGGAUAAUAGUUACUAACAAAAAGGAAGCAUGAAAGUUUUACUAUCACUGAGUCUGGUAGGACUUUUUAUUGGGUUUAGUGAUGCAGUUUUAAAUGAAACAUGCUGCUUUUGGAUUAAUACCUCUAGUAAAGGAAAAUUUACAGGUACUUAAAAAUCAAAUCAAAAUUAUUGACAGGCUCAGGAAAAAUGCCAGCUUCAGCCCUGAAUGGCUACAAACCCUCUUUACUAAAUUCCAGUCUUCUUUAUGGAAUUGGUUAACACCUUUAUUAAGCCCUCUCUUGCUUAUAUGUCUUGUAUUGAUAUUUGGACUCUGUAUACACAAUACUAUAACUCGAACUGUUUCUUCUCGCCUAGAAGCAAUCAAACUCCAAAUGGUGCUGUAAACUGAACCACACAUGGACAGGCCAUUCUUCCGAGGACCCUUAGAUCGAUCCCAGGGGGAGCCCUAGCUGCUGUUCCCCAUUCAACGCCCCUUUUCAGCAGGAAGUAGCCAGAAGGAGUCGCCGCCCAAAAUCCCCUAACAGCAGUUAGUGUGGCAUCUCCACAGGGAGUAAUGUUGUAGGAGUUACUAAGAAAUUAUUUUAGGCAGAUAGAGAGGAAAAGGGGUCCUAGGGAAGUUUUCAUUUUUUAAAGCAUCUCUGGAAAAGUUUCUUGUAAAGCCCGGGCUCUUAGAGCCAGGCUGCCAACCUUUGAUAUGCAAAUGCAAGCCAUUAGAAACUGGGUCCACCCAGGCCAGGUGUGGUGGCUCACGCCUGUAAUCCCAACACUUCGGGAGGCCUAGGCAGGUGGAUCACCUGAGGUCAGGAGUUCAAGACCAGCCUGGCCAACAUAGUGAAACCCCACCUCUACUAAAAAUACAAAAAACUAGCCGGGUGUGCUGGCGCGUGUCUGUAAUCCCAGCUACUCGGGAGGCUGAGGCAGGAGAACCGCUUGAACCCAGGAGGUGGAGGUUGCAGUGAGCUGAGAUCGCACCACUGCACUCCAGCCUGGGCGACAGCAAGACUCUGUCAAAAAAAAAAAAAAAAAAAAAACUAGCCAGGUGUAGUCCCAGCUACUUGGGAGGCUGAGAUGGGAGGAUCACCCUCGACUGGGGAAGUUGAGGCUGCAGUGAGCUGAAAUCGCACCACUGCACUCCAGCCUGGGUGACAGACUGAGACCCUGUCAAAUAAAUAAUGUAUGUAUGUAUAUAUGUAUGUGUGUAUGUUAACCUCAUCCUAAAACAUCCUCACAGAACAUCCAGAAUAAUGUUUGACCAAAUAUCUGGGCACCAAUGGCACAUUCAAGUUGACACAUAAAAUUAACCCUCACAAUACCAUACUAUACAACUUUUGGAGUGAAGCUGGAAUGUCAUCGCAUUUCCAAGACUAACUCAGUGUCCACAAAUGAUGCUUAAGUCAUGAGGAUCAUCUCAGAUUUGGAUUUGGAUGCCUGACAAGCCCUCACUCUUCAGCCUAACUGUCUGAUUUGCAUGGAAAAUUAUCAAGAGAAGCAACAAUGCCAAGCAGACUAUUCCAGGUCAAAAUAGUCAAAUUAAUAAUUCAUAAAUUAUUGUAUGUUUUGAAGGUAUCACAAAGUUAAAGAAAAGUUGCAAGAACAGUACAGAUAACUUUUUUCCUGAACCAUUUGAGAGUAGGUUGCAGACCUGGUGCCCCAUCAUUUCUGAAUAUUUUAGUGUGCAUUUUCUACAAACGACAUUUUCCAGCAUAACCACAAUGCACCCAUCAAUGUCAUGAAAUUAAUGUUGGUACAUUACUACCACCUAGUCCUCAGACCCUAUUCAAAUCACAUCAGUUAUCAUAAUUCUUAUAAUUUAUAGCAAAAUGAUCCAAACUAGGAGCAUGCAUUGCAUUUUUAUGAAUUUUUAAAACAAUUAAGUCUGUGUAGUGAGUGAAGCCACAGUGAUAGGAAGAUAUAAAGGCUUUGCAUCUAGAAUUUGUUCUGAAAACCCUGAGAGUCAAGUAGUACAUUAUUUCAUUUACUGUUUUACACAGAGAAGCUCUCAUUUUUAAGAGUUUGCCUUUCUGAUUUCCACCGUAAAUGAUAGUAUCAGUAUCAUACUCAGAAUCUAAUUACAUACAAGGCACUAACCUCUCACCUGCUUUCAGCUUUGUGUAAAGACAAGGGAUCAAAACAUCCCUCUCUGCUAUUUCAUACUUAAGUGUGGGAGCUGAUCCAAAGGAAGAAUAGUUUCAAAAGUUUGUGAGCAAAAAAAUUUAAAAGGUGAAGAUUUUUUCCUUGAAUGAUUCUCACCUGGCAGAUCUAUGGAAAGAUUAGCUGACUCUUUGGAUCCCUGAAUAUAGUUAAUAGAAAUUUGGAAGGACCAUGUCAAAAUUAACUAAUGUGAACUGACAAAGAUUUGGGGUUCAAAGCAAAAAUUAAACUUUGGAAAAGUGAGCAAGUACUUAAUCAGAAACAAAAAAAAAAAGGAAAAGUUAGGUGAAAAUGGUUUCCAGGUGUUGUUGCUCUUACAGUUUGAAUCAUAAAGAAAAGUUAUUAAAAGUCUGCUGUAACAAACCAUCAUAGACUGGGUGACUUAUAAAGAACAAAAAUGUAUUUCUCACAGUUCCAGAGGCUGGGAAGUCUAAGAUCAAGGCAUCAGCAGAUUCAGUGUCUGGUGAGGGCCCACUUUCUGGCUCACAGAUGGCACCUUCUCACUGUCUCCCCACGUGAUGGGGCAAGGGGUCUCUCUUGGUACUCUUUUAUUAAGGGCACUAAUCCCAUCCAUGACCUAUUCACCUCCCAAAGGCCCUACCUGCAGAUACCAUCGUAUGGGGGAUUUGAUUUCAGCCUGUGAAUUUGGGGGAAGAGGGACAAACAUUCGUUUUGUAGCAAAAGGAGUAGAGUAACAUCUGCCAGUAACUGGAGGAAAGAAUUGUUCUUUUAAAACUAUUAAAUUGUUCAACAGGAUUUAAAUGAUUUCAGGAAUGAAAUGGAAAUCCUGGUAAUGGGUGGAAACACAGGUAAAUUCUCCUUUUCCACUUACCACCACCUGUCUGAAUAACAAUCAUUUCUCAUUAAUAGUCAAGAAUUUGAAGAGAUCAUGAGUAAAAAGUCUUGAUCAGAAAUUGUGUAUAGCUGUUUCCAGCAUAAAACCUUACAUAAAAUGCAUGUUCAUAGAAGAUGCUCAAGUAUGUCAUGAAAAAUACGAAGUUUAUUUAAAUAUUUAUACAAAUUAAAGACUUACUGUAUUCUCUAACAGCGCAUAUUUUCUUUCUUGUAAUAACGAUAUGAAAUAAAUACAAAGUAACACGUUUUUA